AUAUACCAAAAAGUAAGAAAAUUGAUUUGAACAAUAAAGGGUGCAAUUGCCCUUGCUAUCUACCUUUGUAUUGAUUAGCUAAAUGCAUAAUUACAUUGGCAAAAACACAUAGCUAAACAAGUCUAAUAAACUAAUUAACUAAUAAGCACACAAAAUGUGAGACAACAACUAUGUUCUAGUCUCACUAGAGUUAUGCUGACCCUUCACACUGUCCCAUUGCUUCAUAACUUCACAAUAUGCCUCAGCAGACUCAAAAGCAAACUCUGCUAAUGAGCUUAUUGCAACAGACAUUCCAGCACAAAGCACUUUAAU
rnacentral:lncRNA from 1 species